ACAGUAGCAAAAUUCUUCUGCAGGGAGAAGUUGUUGCUCUCACAGAUGAUGAGUGCCAAGCAUCAUUACGAAGAACGAGACAUCCCAUGAGGCGAGACACCCUGCAUCCUGGUACCGCAAUUUGUGCUUCCGGCGAAAAGCAGCACUCCUGUCUGGGGGAUUCAGGCGGACCGUUAAUGCUCAUGAACAACGAUGGAAGAACACUGCAAGUCGGAGUUGUUUCGUUUGGUCCGCUGUGCCCAAUCAAGUCAGAGGGCGUGUACCCUAGUGUUUCUAGCCACAUCAAGUGGAUUCAAAGUGCCCUCAACCGCCCCACAGAGUGGAGACAGCUCCAGUAUAACCGAACGAUAGUGAGCAUCGCCUAGGAAAAAUGAGGUCCUUCCAUUGUAACAUUGUUGAAAAGUCUACAUGGAAUCGUCGGCUAAUUGGUCAGUUAUGUUGAAAAUACCAGCGCUAAGACGCCGAUAAUGCAACCGCACUCCCCCUUCUUACUCCUUGAAAAAAUAAAAAGGAAAAUGAGCCAAUGCUGAAA